rnacentral:lncRNA from 1 species
UUGUUGCCAUUAAUAAUAGAUCUUUACUUCCGAUAUAAGGUGGCAAAAGAAAUCUUUUGAUCAUCAAAACAAUUUUGUACAUCAUAUAUCUGCUCCGUUUGCAUCAUCCAUUUUUCUAUCACCAAUAAAAUUAGGUCCACCAUGCUUUCAUUGCGCUACUCUGAUUUAAUAUCCUCGAUCAACCCUUUCAUCCACCUUAAUUAAUCAGAAACAAAUGAAAUAGGAGGACCCAAAUGUCCUCAUCAUCCUAGAUUCCUAAAAUGCAUCAAAGAAAAUUUCCACCAAUCA